rnacentral:rRNA from 1 species
UUGAACGCUGGCGGCAUGCCUUACACAUGCAAGUCGAACGGCAGCACGGGUGCUUGCCCCUGGUGGCGAGUGGCGAACGGGUGAGUAAUACAUCGGAACAUGUCCUGUAGUGGGGGAUAGCCCGGCGAAAGCCGGAUUAAUACCGCAUACGAUCUACGGAUGAAAGCGGGGGACCUUCGGGCCUCGCGCUAUAGGGUUGGCCGAUAGCUGAUUAGCUAGUUGGUGGGGUAAAGGCCUACCAAGGCGACGAUCAGUAGCUGGUCUGAGAGGACGACCAGCCACACUGGGACUGAGACACGGCCCAGACUCCUACGGGAGGCAGCAGUGGGGAAUUUUGGACAAUGGGCGAAAGCCUGAUCCAGCAAUGCCGCGUGUGUGAAGAAGGCCUUCGGGUUGUAAAGCACUUUUGUCCGGAAAGAAAUCCUUGGCUCUAAUACAGUCGGGGGAUGACGGUACCGGAAGAAUAAGCACCGGCUAACUACGUG